rnacentral:scRNA from 1 species
UGCAACCCCUUCUCCUUCUCCUUCUCCUUAUAUAAAA